UCAGGACGAACGCUGGCGGCGUGCUUAACACAUGCAAGUCGAACGGAAAGGCCCUUCGGGGUACUCGAGUGGCGAACGGGUGAGUAACACGUGGGUGAUCUGCCCUGCACUUUGGGAUAAGCCUGGGAAACUGGGUCUAAUACCGAAUACACCUCGUGGGUUGCAUGACCUGUGGGGGAAAGCUUUUGCGGUGUGGGAUGGGCCCGCGGCCUAUCAGCUUGUUGGUGAGGUUAUGGCUCACCAAGGCGACGACGGGUAGCCGGCCUGAGAGGGUGACCGGCCACACUGGGACUGAGAUACGGCCCAGACUCCUACGGGAGGCAGCAGUGGGGAAUAUUGCACAAUGGGCGCAAGCCUGAUGCAGCGACGCCGCGUGAGGGAUGACGGCCUUCGGGUUGUAAACCUCUUUCAGUAGGGACGAAGCGCAAGUGACGGUACCUGCAGAAGAAGGACCGGCCAACUACGUGCCAGCAGCCGCGGUAAUACGUAGGGUCCGAGCGUUGUCCGGAAUUACUGGGCGUAAAGAGCUCGUAGGUGGUUUGUCGCGUUGUUCGUGAAAACUCACAGCUUAACUGUGGGCGUGCGGGCGAUACGGGCAGACUGGAGUACUGCAGGGGAGACUGGAAUUCCUGGUGUAGCGGUGGAAUGCGCAGAUAUCAGGAGGAACACCGGUGGCGAAGGCGGGUCUCUGGGCAGUAACUGAC
rnacentral:rRNA from 1 species